UGUUGUCCCACUAUUGAUCAUGUUGAGGUUGAUGAUAACACCAUUUGUUUGACCAGUAGUAGCUUCCCUUCUCUUGCACUUCUUCCCAUCUUCCUUGUAAAUAUGGACACAUGUCAGAAUGAUGUCCAUUUUGGGCGCAAAAAUCACAAAUAAGAGGCAUGGGUUGCACACUUUGGUCACUUUCAAUCAUCAUAACUAACUGAGCUAGCUCAGAAAGUUUAUCUUCAAUGCAAGGAGUGUUCACUCCCGAACCAUACUUUUUUCUUCAAUAUUUGAGUUUGAAACUAGAGUACCUGAAGAAUAAGAUCUAGGCAUAGAGAAACAAACUAAUUAAAUAUAAACCAAUCCCCGGCAACGGCGCCAAAAUUUGGUGAAUGUCGAGGCAAACAAAAAUAAUAACCCUAAAUAUUACACACUAAAUUAGUGUAUAGUGGUAAAGGGAUCGAAUCCACGGAGAUUGGUUCAAUGUAUAACCCUAUGAAAAAUCUCUUUGUAAGAAUACUUGUAUAAUAACAAUAAAAAAUAAAAUGAGGGGUUUUGGUGUUUUGAAAUACUUGAAACAAACUAGAAUUAACUAUGAUUUUAAGAGACAAUUUCAACAAAAAUAAGAGUUUGAUGUAAAACCAAUAAGGGAGAGAUGGUUGACUUAAAGUUUCCUCACUUUAACUUUUGAUGAACAUAUCAUUAGAAUCCAAUGGUGCAAUACUUUGAUUUAAAUCCUUAAUUUCGAUAUAGUAAUCCAAGGAGCUUGAGAUUACCUAGACUUUUCUUAAUUGUUGAAAUGGCUAGAAAAGCCCAUAACAAUUUCCUUUGUCAAAGUCACUAACUUCAAAUAGCAUGUAAUUUGUGAAAGUCAACUAGCCUUAUGUAGCACCUGGUUCAUGGUACGUAUUCCUUGUAAUUAAUAUUUCUUAAAUUAUGCAUUUUGCCUUGGACUCGGCGAGUUGAAGGACCAACUCGUCGAGUAGAAGCGGGAUGAGACGUGGAGUCUAAGCUUUGGACUCGGCGAGUAGGCUCUGUUUGGGAAAAAACCCUAACCCGAGUGAUUGCAGCUUAUUUAAACACUCUAAGUCGGCCUCCCUUGUUCCUAACACUUCCAGAAGAGCUGUAGAGCGAAACCCUAUCCCCUUUUUGUCCUUGUGAGUAAUUUUGGCCAUGUGAAGGAAGUUUGAAGCUUAAGAGAAGAAGAAGGAGGUGGAAGAGUGCAAGGAGGGGAACUAGAUCCGACAUCUACCCUGCAAGAGGCUUCCAUUCAGGUAGAAAAGUUCCUACCUUGAUCACUAGUUCAUUAGAUCCCCUAUUUGUCCCUAAUUGGUGGUUUUCAAGCCCUAAAACCCCAAACUGCAUGUGUUUGUGCUCUAUGAUUCGAAAGGACUUCAAAUCUGGACCUUAUGGGCAUCUUAAAAGUAUAAAGUCUCUGUGGUUGGAGUUAUUGAGGUCCCUAAUGAGUGUAUGACCUCUUAAAGAGCUUGGAUUUGCUUUAUUGAGCUUAUAAGGGCCAUGCAUGCACGUAAAGUUUGCAACUUUACGUGAUAAUCAUGCCCUAGGAACAUAGAUCUAUGGUUUGGAAGCGUUGCAUGUCUCAGAUUUGGUCUAUAUGGGAAAUGGGUAGAAGGGACUCGACGAGUCCCAAAGUGGAACUCGGCGAGUUCUAUGAAGAUGGCCUUAGACUUGGCGAGUUGGAGGAACAACUCGGCGAGUCCUAUGAAGAUUGCCUGGAACUCGACGAGUUGUUCUUAAAACUCGGCGAGUCAUAUGAACUGUUACUAAGUAAGAGGGGUUUAAGUGUUGAAGGUCUGACCCUUCGUAUCUGCACGCAGAAUUAGCAAUUUAGCAUGUAGCAAUAGUCCCAGAAACCCAAAUCCUCAUAAAGGAUGCUCUGGUGAGGAUUUGGAAGCGAGUAAGAGAUCUGCUCGUGGGGACUCGUCGAGUCGGAUCGCAAAUCGAUUCAAUCGUCCCAAGUAGUUAGUUAAGGGUCACUCAGUGAGUGGGAAGAGGGACUUGACGAGUAGGACCGGGUUAGUAGGAGAAGGACUCGGCGAGUCUGUGUCAUGUCUCGGCGAGUCCAGUCAAUUGGAAGUUGACUUUGACCAAGGAGUUGACCUUAGACCAGGGGUGGGUCAGUCAUUUGACCUAAGUGUAUUUAUGAGUGGCUAAUCUAUGUUUAUCGAUUUAUAGCCGGAGGAUUACCGGUGCAGCAGCCAGACGUCUAGCAGUCAGACUUUCGUUAGCCACUUUUCGAGGUGAGUUUCCUUCUAGUAGGAACGGGUCUAAGGCACCAAGGCCGGCCCGCAUAGACGAUAUGUUAGUUUCGGAGUGUGGGCAGAGCCCAUAUCUCAUAGUUGAGUAUGAUUACGAUAUAUGCUAGUAUGAUAGGAUUGUUUAUACUCGUUGUCUGUGUGAUACUUGUAUGUUAUGGUUUAGUAGCUGAGUGUGGGUGAGGCCCGUAUCUCUCUGAAAGUGGAGUGUGGGUGAGGCCCAUAUCUCUCUGAUAGUGGAGUGUGGGCGAGGCUCGUAUCUCUCGGAUAGCGGAGUGUGGGCGAGGCCCGUAUCUCUCAGUUAGCGGAGUGUGGGCGAGGCCCGUAUCUCCAUGAGUGUGGGUGAGGCCCAUAUCUCCUAGCUAUUCAUUGUAUGAUUGCAUGGUAUGGGGUAUUAUGGGGGAACUCACUAAGCUUCGUGCCUAUAGUUUAUAGUUUUGGUUUCAGGUACCUCUUCAGCGAAGGGGAAGGAGCUAGCACGGUAGCGGCAUAUCAUACACACAUCUCGUUUUCCGCACUAUGAGAUUAUUCUGGGAUUUGUAUUCUGACACUAUGGUUGAUUUCAUGUUUUGGUUUUCAGACACGUAAUAUGUUUUAAUAAAUGAUAUGACUGAAUGUUGUUUAUUUUUAAACAUUUCGUAAAGUGUUUAAUUAAAAAUGAAAUUUUUGGACUUGAAAAUUGGGUCGUUACAAGUUGGUAUCAGAGCCCUGGUUUGAGGGAUUCGGACACACCCUCGGAAGUGUUUGGACUCAAAUCGAUGGAAUAAAAGAAUUUUCUAAGAAAUGAUUUUUCCAAAGGGGUAAACUAAAGAGUUUUGGUAAAAGUACGAAGUGUGUGAUGUGCGCGACCGGCCAAGCUCAAGUAAGUAUUCCCCAAAGUACCCAUACAAGUUUAUGUCAUUAUUAACAGUUUCAGUAGAACAGCAUGCUAGAAUAGGACUAAGGAUCUAGGAGUGAUGCCUUACGUGUCUGCUUUAUUUGCUUCAGCUUAUGAGAAUUGCAUGCUAGUAUUGAGUAGAUAGCAGUAGGAUAGCCUGUUUAGGUUAUGCCUGACAGUAUGAGUUUAGCACUGUAUGCUAGUUCAGUUCCUCUCUAUGAGAACGAAUUGUUUGAGGUUGUUCCCUUUUAUUUGAAUGUUGCUUGCUUUGUGCUUUGUGGGACUAUGAGUGAUGGGAGUUAGCCAUUAGGUGAAUACGUCACGUCACAUGUGAUCAGAGUUGAAUAAACUUAGAGUGCUGGAUUUGGCCUUAUCGCGCAGCUCUCGUUUGAGUCUAACCGUUGUAGGGACGAGUCUAUUACUCGAAGGAUUAUCUGAGCCUCAUCACAUGUGAUGGUAUUCAGGUAAUGGCUAAUUGGCAUUAAAAGGAGGCCUUCAGCAGCUGGGGACCGAGUAGGGUGGAUUCAGAGAUUUCCCUAGGGCAAGCCUAGGAUGAGUAUAGCAGUGAUCAGCAGUAGUGAAAGGGAUCUGGUGGAGUCGAGGCAGUCCUUGAAGAAGGUACAGAUAGAUGUGGAAGGUAGUAUGGGCCCGUACUACUGAAAAUAAAGGAUCCUUACCCGAACUAAGGAAGGUCGAGACAAGACCGGGGAACUUGAAAUAGAUGUGAUCCCUUUAGAGGUGUUAGUAUCACUAAUGGUUGCCUAUGUGUAUUGCAGAAUGGUGGUACUACGCCAGAGGCCAGCUAGUGGCAGUUCUGGAGAGGGAUCGGGUUCGUGAUCAGGUUCCUAGCUAGUAGAUGAGAGACUACGCGAGCUCAUCACGUCAGAGAUCACCAGAGGCAUCCUUGAGUCGACCCACAUCAUUUUCAGGUCGAUCAAGGAAGGGAGAGUUGAGCUGAUGGAGGACUGCCUCAGGGCGUUCAGGAGUGACAUGGCAUCUGGCCAGUCAGGAUCUCGCACACUAUCCUUUAAGGACUUCAGGGGCAGUGGUGCGCCGGAUUUCCAUGGGGCGAAGGACCCCAUUGCUUCCAGACGAUGGAUUGCAGACAUUGAGUCCGCACAACUGACUAGCUUCUGCCCCGAGGGAUCGAAGGUGAGAUUCGCAGUAGGGUGUUUGAGAGACAGAGCUAGAGACUGGUAGGAGUCUGUUGGUCACUCAUUGGGAGCCUCGCCUGUUGAGGCUAUGACAUGGUCGUAUUUUGUGACCCGGUUCUGAGCAGAGUUUGCGCCAGCGGUAGAGCUUCAGUAGCUGGCCAGAGAGUUUUUGGACAUGAGACAGACUACGGAGACUGUGGCGGAGAUCACCGCCAAGUUCCGGGAGAGGGCAUUGUUGGUGCCCCAGUAUGCGGGAGAUGAGGAUAUGAGGAGGACCCGCUAUCAUGACAUGCUACGCACUGACAUCCAAGAGCAUGUUAGCUUUUCAGCAUGCCCUACCCUGGAGUCCAUGAUUGCCAGGGAAAGGGAGAGGGAGAUUAAUUUGAAGCAUAUCUAGAAGAGGAAGGCAGAGGCGGGGCUGGUGGUUGGGGCUUUGGGGAAGAAGCCCAAGGGAUCAGAUGGUAGGCCGAAAGGCCAAGGAGGACCGGGCCGCUGCAGGAAAUGCAGCAGGUCGCACGAGGGAGCAUGUAGAUUGGGAUCAUCGGGCUGCUACAAGUGCGGCAAGAGGGGACACUUUAGCAGAGAUUGUACUGCCCCUGCCUUGGUUGUUCAGACAUCUGAGAUAAUUGCGUUUCCACUGCAACCAGAGGGGCCACAAGAGGGCCAAUUGCCCCCAUUUGACAGCAGCAUCAGCGCCAGUGAAGGAGCCAGCUCUAGCGACUCUGAGGAUCACAGAUGGCUGGCAGGGCAAGUCGGAGGCUCCAGUGGUGAGGAGUCGGGACUUUCAGUUGACUACAGAGGAGGCACGCGCCAUGCCCGAUGUGGUGAUGGGUAUGAUUUCUUAUUUAUGCUUUAUGUUAUGUUGUUGUAAUGUUGAUAUGCUAUAUGUAUGUGCUCUGUUUAGGAUCGUUCUAUGUUAAUGGUAUCCCAGUUCAGGUGUUGUUUGAUUCGGGGGCUACCCAAUCAUUUGUUUCUCUUGCGCUUAGCAAGAAGUUUCCUGAGUCCUCGGGCAUGUUGGAUUGCCCUCUAGAGGUUGAGAUUGCGGACGACCGGUCGGUGCGAGCCUCAGAGGUCUUCCGGGAUUGUGUGUUGAGAUUAUUUGAGGAGUGGUAUCUGUUCGACCUGGUUCCCAUACCUUUGCAGGGGAACAUGGUUAUUAUCGGUAUGGAUUGGUUAACCCCAAUGGGGCAGUGAUCGACUAUGCGCAGCAGUUGGUGCGGAUCAGGACCCCUAAUGGGGGAGAGCUGGUGGUUCAGGGCGAGAGGCCACAGUGAGGACCAGCCUUAUGCUCUGCAGCGAGAUCUAGGCGUUACCAUCAGCAGGGUUGCGCAGGAUAUGUCUCUUAUGUCAUAGACGCCCGGGAGGCUGGUAUGGCGACAGUGGGGGAUGUGCCCAUGGUUCGAGAGUUUACGGAUGUAUUCCCCGAGGAGUUGCCUGGGAUACCUCUAGAGCGACAGGUGGAAUUCAGGAUCGACUUAGUCCCUGGUGCGGCUCCGAUAGCCAAGGCACCAUACCGGUUGGCUCCUCCCGAGAUGCAGGAGUUGUCUACACAGCUACAAGAGCUGUUAGACAAGGGAUUCAUUAGACCGAGCAGUUCACCCUAGGGAGCUCCGAUUCUGUUUGUGAAGAAGAAGGACGGGUUGCAUCGUAUGUGCAUAGAUUAUCGGGAGCUGAACAAGGUAACGGUGAAGAACCGUUACCCACACUCGAGGAUUGAUGAUCUCUUUGACCAGUUAUAGGGAGCAUCUUAGUUCUCCAAGAUCGAUUUGUGUUCGGGUUAUCAUCAGAUGAGGGUCAGAGAGGAGGAUGUGCAGAAGACCGCGUUUUGGACGCUCUAUGGCCAUUAUGAGUUCGUGGUGAUGUCGUUUGGGCUCACCAAUGCCCCUGUCGCGUUCAUGGACCUCAUGAACCGCGUGUGCAGACCGAUGCAGGAUCGGACUGUGAUAGUUUUCAUUGAUGACAUCUUGGUCUAUUCCAAGACGCAAGAGGAGCACAAUGAGCAUCUGAGAGAGGUUUUGGAGACCCUGAGGAGGGAGAGCUUGUACGCCAAGUUCUCCAAGUGCAAGUUUUGGUUGCGCGAGGUGCAAUUCCUUGGGCACCUUGUCAACCAGAACGGUAUAUUGGUUGACCCGGCCAAGAUAGAGGCCGUGAUGAGAUGGGAGGUUCCGAAGUCACCAUUUGAGAUUCGGAGUUUCCUGGGAUUAGCGGGCUACUAUCGGAGAUUCAUUCAGGACUUCUCCAAGGUAGUCGUACCCAUGACACGGUUGACUAAGAAAGUAGUUGUCUUUCGAUUGGGGCCUGAGCAGCAGGCGGCGUUUGAGGUUCUGAGACAAAGAUUGUGCGAGGCGCCAAUCUUAGCCCUGCCAGAGGGCGUAGAGGAUUUUGUGGUAUAUUGUCACGUGUCCAUUUCGUGGUUGGGCGCGAUACUUAUGCAGAGAGGGAAUGGCAUUGACUACGCUUCGAGGCAGCUGAAGCCUCACAAGGCGAACUACCCGACGCACGAUUUAGAGUUAGGGGUGGUGAUCUUCGCCCUCAAGAUUUGGCGACAUUACCUCUAUGGGGUUCGGUGUACCAUUUACACGAACCACAAGAGUUUGAGGUACCUCAUGGAUCAUACGAAUUUGAACAUGAGGCAGCAUCGGUGGCUUGAUUUGGUGAAGGAUUAUGAUUGUGAAAUCCUUUAUCACCCGGGGAAGGCCAAUGUGGUGGCCGAUGCGCUUAGCCGCAAGGGGGCGCCGAUCAGGGAUAUUUGCAUGCGGAUGAAAGUGGUGACUCCGCUUUUGGAGCGAAUUCGGGAGGCCCAGCAAGAGGCCAUGAAGGAGGAACACGGAAGAGUGAGCGCAUAGUGGGUCAGGUUUCCUCCUUCAACUAUGACAGCAGGGGAUUAUUGACAUUACACCGCAGGGUGUGGGUGCCAUACCUCAGAGGCGUGCGCCAGAUCUUCAUGGAGGAGGCGCACAAAUCCAGAUUCUCCAUUCAUCCCGGGGCAACGAAGAUGUAUAGGGAUCUUUGUCUGGACUAUUGGUGGGCCUGCAUGAAGCGGGAUGUGGCUUGGUAUGUCGAGCGGUGCUUGACCUGCAGGAAGGUCAAGGCCGAGCAUCAGAAACUGCACGGCAAGAUGCAGCCGUUAGAUAUCCCGUUGUGGAAAUUGGAAGAUAUUACGAUGGAUUUCAUCACGAAGCUUCCCAGGACCGCGCGAGGAGUGGAUUCUAUAUGGGUCAUUGUGCAUCGAUUGAACAAGAGCGCCCAUUUUAUUCCGAUUCAGGAGAGCAUCUCGGCCGAGAAGUUGGCCAACAUCUAUAUCAAGGAGAUACUGGCACGGCACGGGGUGCCAGUAUCAGUGAUUUCAGACCGAGAUGUGCGUUUUACUUCCAGGUUUUGGAAGAAGUUUAAUGAUGAGUUGGGCACUCGUCUACAUUUUAGCACCGCCUUUCACCCGCAGACAGAUGGUCAGAGUGAGCGGACCAUCCAGACUCUGGAGGAUAUGUUGCGGGCAUGCGUGCUAGAUUUCGGUGGUAGUUGGGAUACCUAUCUUCCUUUACCUGAGUUCUCAUACAACAAUAGCUAUCAUGCGAGCAUCGACCGUCCUCCCUUCGAGAUGUUGUAUGGUAGGAGGUGCAUGACCCCGAUAUGUUGGGGAGAGGUUGGCUAGAGGGUCAUGGGAAGCAUCGAAGUGGUGCUCAAGACGACAGAGAAGAUUUAGCAAGUCCGGAGCAGGCUUCAGACUGCUCAAAGUCGGCAGAAAAGGUAUGCCGAUAAGCGUCGAUCAGAUAUGGAGUUCCAGGUCGAAGAUAUGGUCCUUCUGAAGGUGUCACCUUGGAAAGGCGUCAUUUUAUUAAGGAAGCGGGGCAAGUUGGGCCCAAGGUAUAUUGGACCGUUCAAGGUUAUAGCCCGGGUGGGCAAGGUGGCAUACAGGCUGGAUUUGCCAGCCGAACUCAGUCAGAUACACAGCACUUUCCAUGUCUCUCAGUUGUGGAAGUGUCUGGUGGACGACUCAGCAGUAGUACCCUUGGAGGACAUUCAGGUUGAUGGCAGCCUGAAUUACAUCGAGCGGCCUGUAGCAAUCCUCGACCGGAAGUCGAAGGAUUUGAGGAACAAGAGGGUGGAACUCAUGAAGGUGCAAUGGCAUUACCAGAAGGGAUAAGAGUGGACUUGGGAGCCGGUGGAAUAAAGGAUGGAGCACUAUCCUGAGCUGUUUCAGGAUCGAGUAACGGACUUCGAGGACGAAGUCUAAAAUAAGUGGGGUAGAUUUGUAGCACCUGGUUCCUGGGACGUAUUCCUUGUAAUAAAUAUUUCUUAAAUUAUGCAUUUUUCCUUGGACUUGGCGAGUUGAAGGACCAACUCGCCGAGUAGAAGCGGGAUGAGACGUGGGGUCUAAUCUUUUGACUCAGCGAGUAGGCCCUGUUUGGGCAAAAACCCUAACCCGGGUGAUUGCACCUUAUUUAAACACUCUAACUCAGCCUCCCUUGUUCCUAACACUUCCAAAAGAGCUGUAGAGCGAAACCCUAGCCCCUUUUUGUCCUUGUGAGUGAUUUUGGCCUUGUGAAGGAAGUUUGAAGCUUAAGAUGAGAAGAAGGAGGUGGAAGAGUGCAAGGAGGGGAACUAGAUCCGACAUCUACCCUGCAAGAGGCUUCCAUUCAGGUAGAAAAGUUCCUACCUUGAUCACUAGUUCAUUAGAUCCCCUUUUUGUCCCUAAUUGGUGGUUUUCAAGCCCUAAAACCCCAAACUCCAUGUGUUUGUGCUCUAUGAUUCGAAAGGACUUCAGAUCUGGACAUUAUGGGCAUCUUAAAAGUAUAAAGUCUUUGUGGUUGGAGUUAUUGACGUCCCUAAUGAGUGUAUAACCUCUUAAAGAGCUUGGAUUUGCCUUCUUGAGCUUAUAAGGGUCAUGCAUGCACGUAAAGUUUGCAACUUUACGUGAUAAUCAUGCCCUAGGAACAUAGAUCUAUGGUUUGGAUGCGUUGAUUUGGUCUAUAUGGGAAAUGGGUAGAAGGGACUCGGCGAGUUCUAUGAAGAUGGCCUUAGACUUGGCGAGUUGGAGGAACAACUCGGCGAGUCCUAUGAAGAUUGCCUGGAACUCGACGAGUUGUUCUUAAAACUAGGCGAGUCAUAUGAACUAUUACUAAGUAAGAGGGGUUUAAGUGUUGAAGGUCCAACCCUUUGUAUUUGCACGCGAAAUUAGCAAUUUAGCGUGUAGCAAUAGUCCCAGAAACCCAAAUCCUCAUAAAGGAUGCUCUGGUGAGGAUUUGGAAGCGAGUAAGAGAUCUGCUCGUGGGGGAUCGACGAGUUGUUCUUGUACUCGGCGAGUCGGAUCGCAAAUCAGUUCAAUCGUCCCAAGUAGUGAGUUAAGGGUGACUCAGUGAGUAGGAAGAGGGACUUGACGAGUAGGACCGGGUUAGUAGGAGCAGGACUCGGCGAGUCUGUGUCAUGACUCGGCGAGUCCAGUCAAUAGGAAGUUGACUUUAACCAAGGAGUUGACCUUGGACCAGGGGUGGGUCAGUCAUUUGACCUAAGGGUAUUUAUGAGUGGCUAAUCUAUGUUUAUGGAUUUAUAGCCGGAGGAUUACCGGUGCAGCAGCCAAACUUUCGGUAGCCACUUUUUGAGGUGAGUUUCCUUCCAGUAGGAACGGGUCUAAGGCACCAAGGUCGGCCCGCAUAGACGAUAUGUUAGUGUCGGAGUGUGGGCAGAGCCCGUAUCUCAUAGUUGAGUAUGAUUAUGAUAUAUCGCAGUAUGAUAGGAUUUUUUAUACUCGUUGUCUGUGUGAUACUUGUAUGUUAUGGUUUAGUAGCUGAGUGUGGGAGAGGCCCGUAUCUCUCUGAUAGUGGAGUGUGGGAGAGGCCCGUAUCUCUCUUAUAGUGGAGUGUGGGCGAGGCCCGUAUCUCUCAGAUAGCAGAGUGUGGGCCAGGCCCGUAUCUCUUAGAUAGUGGAGUGUGGGCGAGGCCCAUAUCUCCUAGUUAGCAGAGUGUGGGCGAGGCCCGUAUCUCCUAGCUGUUCGUUGUAUGAUUGCAUGGUAUGGGGUAUUAUUGGGGAACUCACUAAGCUUCGUGCUUACAGUUUAUAGUUUUGGUUUCAGGUACCUCUUCAGCGAAGGGGAAGGAGCUGGCACGGUAGCGGCAAAUCGUACACACAUCUCGUUUUCCACACUAUGAGAUUAUUCUGGGAUUUGUACUCUGACACUAUAGUUGAUUUCAUGUUUUGGUUUUCAGACACGUAAUAUGUUUUAAGAAAUGAUAUGACCGAAUGUUAUUUAUUUUCAAACGUUUCGAAAAGUGUUUAAUUAAAAAUGAAAUUUUUGGACUUGAAAAUUAGGUCGUUACACCUUAAGAACCAAAAAGUCACCAAAUCCAAAAGGAGUCAAUUGCUUUCACUACCAUGUUGGGGAAAAGGUUUUUAUGAUUGUGUGAAGCAAAAACAACACAAAAAUCAUUUGUUGUUUGCUAAUUUGAGGAUCCUUUACUUAAUCAAGAAAUUAGCCAACUAAUCACAACAAACACAUUUAAACUCAUGAAUAAAAACAUACUAGUAGUGAUAAUAUGUUGAAACACAAAACAUUUUCAUAAAGAUUUAAGAACGAGUUCAUGGAUUCUUGAACAUUCAACAAAAGUUCAAAGGAUUCAACAAAAGUUCAAAGGAUUCAACAAAAAGUCAACCAAGAUUAGUUUAGCCAAGCAUGACUAAACUCAAAGAAGCAAAUUUAGUUAAGAUUGUACCAAACAUUUGACAAGAAUCAAGAGAAGAAAAGAUGAAGUUCUUCAAGGUUUUUGGCCUUCAAAUUGCUUCAAAACUCCAGAGAGAAAGUGUCAAAAUCAAACAUCCAAGAUAAGGCUGAAGAGGCACACCAACCUUCCCAAUAUAGAGCUCUUGACAAAAUCUUGAUUUUUCCCUUGUUAGGAAUCCACGCGGGCCGCGGGGAAUCUUACGCGGGCCGCGUGACUUUGACGGAUUUUUGGGCUCCUUAAUGUCUUGGCCCCCCACAGCUUGUCCAUUGACCCAGUUCGAGUCUAAUCAACCUCUAGCCCAUUUUUCUUCAAGUUCUCUACAAUUUGAGCCCAAUUUGACUUUUCCAAAUCCUCUAAAGCUCUCGUAAUCGCCCGAUCAUCAAUCCCCGCACACUCGAAAAUUCUCCCACAUCUUGUAAAUUUAAAGGUUAGUUCUUCCAAGCCUUCAAGUAGUUGACAAGCCCACUCCAUGCAUCAUCUCCAUAGUUAGUAUGCCCAAAAUUCUUGAUGGCUUCUAAGCCCAAUUGCUUCCCAAAGAUCCCGCUCCGCUACUCUCCGUAAAACCUGCAAUUACGCUUUACGAAAUUCGAAAGUACCCGAAAGUGGUCAUAAAAUAACAAACAGGAAAAUAUGCAUGGAAAUUAACUAAAAUGUGAAUGAAAUAUGCUAAAAUAAACUAUAAAAAGAAGUAAAUAAAAUGAAACUAUCAAAUUACCCCAAGCUUAAACCUUACUUGUCCUCAAGUAAGACAAGAAUAAAACAAACUCGGGAUGAACUAUCCUAAGGAAAAUAAAAAGAAUGGAUAGAACUGCGGAAGUUGAUCACCGUUCGUCAACAUGGUUAGAAUUGAUCUUUCUAUUACCUCACGAAUUUUUCACCCGAUGACAAUGGGACCAUAAACCACAGCCAAGACAACUACUUUAGGUGAGUAAGGAGGGAUGAGCAGUCGCAGCCCAAUGGAAAAUGCAUACAAAGAAGAACAUCGGUAGUAGGGAGAAAGCAGCUGGAUGGGCUUGUGUGGAGCUCCUCUUUUAAGUGUACACUCUGAUCACAAAAGUUGUGUGAUCUCACGUCUGUCGGCCACCGUGUGACUGGGUUUUAUCGCUCAGGCACAGUUAUAGAAAUUUGUUCACUUAGUGUUGGCCCAAACCUCCCGUAGCAUCCGACUUGACAGUCUCUCUAACAUCACCAAUUUGUGAAAAGAAACAACUCUAUCUAUAUACAAUAAAAAAAACCUAUAUAAAUGAAUAUCAAACGUUGAGUGACCAAAAUGUAGGAAAACUUGUUCAAUAAUUGAACCGGUCACCAUCUAAGAUAAUCGACGCUUGGAAUUUGCUUGAGUUUUUUUUUAUGAUGUUUUUUUUCAAGAAAACUAUUUGACUCGAAAUUUAGUUCCCAAAAUAUGUAAGUGGAACCAAAAGGGUAAUAGUAAUAAUCUGAAUGGUCUAAGUGUGAAAAAAACCAUGUGUGGAGCAUAAAGAUGUAAGCUCCUUUUCAAACUUAUGUUUUUCCAAAUAUAAUGAAAAUGUCCAAAUGUGGACUAAAAGACUCUCUAGAAUCCUAAGUAAAUCACAAAAAGAAUAUGGUGACGUAAAGAGACCGGAUAUGGAUUCUACUCGGGGACAAGAACCAGUGCUUCAUCCUAAUGGUUCAAACAUGAUCAAGUGUGAUCCUCUCAGCGGCAUAGACCGUAGGGCUAAAAACAUCCAUUGCUUUUAAGCUCCAGCAGUUGAUCCCAAGUAUGAAGUCCCAAACUGCGGCUAGUGGUCUCGGUUCGAUGGGUGAGAUAGCAACAAGAUCCUUGACCAAUAAUGAUACAAUAACUAUGAACCUGUUCCAUGGAAUCCAAGGGGGUGACAAUAAACAAACAAAAUGCAUGAAUGUUAAUGCCCUAAGCUAAAUGUUAUGCAAAAAUAAAAAGUGGAAAAGAAGAAAAUAAAAUAUAUUUGGGUUUUUAUAAAAAAAAUGAAUGCAAAUUAGCUUAAACUAAAAUGAUAUGCAACCUAAAAAAAUGCAUGGAAAAGUAAAAAGAAAAGGAAAAAAAAGAAUGUAAAUUAGCUUAAACUAAAAUGAUAUGCAACAAAAAAAAUGCUUGGAAAAGUAAAAAGAAAAGGAAAUGCCCCACCCCAAGCUUAAGAACAAGCAUUGUCCUCAAUGCUUAAGGAAAGGGUGGAAAUGACCUAAAUCGGAGGGUUGGGUAGAGCAUAGGGGUUUGUAGAGGAGGAAAAAUGGUGAAUAAUGUUGGUGGUCUUGCGGGAUUCCGACCGGUAGAUUUCCAGGAAAUCGAGUUUUUAUAUGGAGCGCAGGCGGGGCGCGGGCCGCGUAGAGGCCGCGUAUAUUUUCCUUAUUUUUCCCUCGAGUGAACAGAAGAGCUAGAACAACUUUUUCUACGAGGCACGCGGGCCACGUGGAACCCGCACGAUGGCUGCACAAAGUCUUACGCGGGCCGCAUGGAACCUGCACGCUGGCCGCGUGUGCUGAACAGGGUUGGAGGUGAUUCUUCUAUGCGGGCAAGGAAAGGGCCGCACACAAGCCACACAAGACCUUAUGUUGUCCGCGUGGAUUUUCAUGUGGGCCGCGUGACUUCCUACACUUCAAAAUUUCAAAUUUUUCUAAAAACUUGAGUUUUGGCCAUAAUGAUUCUCGCAAAGUCCCGGUUUCAAAAGCACAACAAAAGGUUUGGACAAAGGUGAGAAUAAAGCUUGAAAUUUUUCAAAAAUGAACACUUUCAAAACAAAAAAAAAACAUUGUCAAAAUCAUUUAAUUCAGUUUAUAAAAGACGAAAGCACAAUGCUUCCCAAAAAUGCCCUUCUUUAACGUCUUUGGCAAGACGCCUCCAAACUUCACUUUAACACUUUGGGGAGUCCAAAUGGACAACAACUUGGACAUUUGAAUCAAAACCUUCAUAGAAAGGCUUCAACCGAUGUCCAUUAACAUUGCAAUUUUGCCCCGUGUCAACAUUUUUGAAUUGCCGCAUCUCCAUUGGGACUCUUUUCUUGUAUUUGACUUUCUUUUUACGGGAAAACCAUACCAGACUUAGAGCUUUGAUAACAACAAGCAUCCAACCAUAUUCUUUAUUGCACUUGUUUAGUAAGGUGACCAACUCUUCCCUCUUUGACAUGGUGGUUGAGUAGGUGACUUGUUUGGCAUCCUCUUUCUCGUGAUAUGUAUCAUUUUAAGGGUCCAACAGAUUUAUCAUUUCAGGCUCUUAUGGUUGGUCUACCACUGGAGUUAGUUUCUCAAUGGUAGUGGGUGGCUUAAACUCUCUUUCGUUAAUCCCCAACACAUCCAUUAUAAUUUCAUUGAAAUAUUUCUCAAUUUCUUCUUCCUCCUUGAUAGCCUCUUCUACUUCUACUCCUUCUUCCACUUCUUCAUAUAACACUCUUGAGCCAUCAAAAAAUUUCUCAUCUUUCAAAGGAAUGGCACAUGCGCUAAGCCAUGGGCUCUCUUCAGAUGGUAAUUUGUCUUGAUAUUCCAUUAUACUUACUGAUUGAGCAAUUUGUGUUAUUUGUUGCUCUAAGCUUUUGAGGGUAGCUUGGGUUAUUUCUUGGAAAAGUUGGGUAGAUGUGGUAAUGCUUUUCACAAUCUCCUCUAAGGACAUGCUUGGUGUUUCAAGUUGUUGAGGAGGUGGAGGAUAUGGAUGUUGGAAUUGUGGAGUUGGUUGGUAUUGGUCAUUUCUCCAAGCUUGGUAUGGGAUUUUGUAUUGGUUGUAUCCCCAAGCUUGGUUGUUGUCCCACCAUUGAUCAUGUUGAGGUUCAUCAUAACUCCAUGGAUUUGACCAGCAGUAGCUUCCCUUCUCUUGCACUUCUUCCCAUCUUCCUUGUAAAUAUGGACACAUGUCAGAAUGAUGUCCAUUUUGGGCGCAAAAAUCACAAAUAAGAGGCAUAGGUUGCACACUUUGGUCACUUUCAAUCAUCAUAACUAACUAAGCUAGCUUAGAAAGUUUAUCUUCAAUGCAG
rnacentral:lncRNA from 1 species